UGCCAGUAUGAAACAGCAAAGAGCCUGGCAAAUCCUGUGCCUCUUCCCCAACCUGGUCAUUACUUGUUGGCGCAGCUGCAGGUUUCUGCACUUCUACAGCUUAAUCCUGGUCUUACCACCCCAUUCGUGCUUAUUUAUUUGGAGGGGCUCCAUUCUGAUUUAUGGAGUUACUGAGGUGGAAUGCUAACCUGCCCCAAACUAGCUGAUUUUCUAGAUUAAUGGAUGAAAGAAUAAUCACCAUCUGGGAUUUACAGGUUCUUCCUAUCUCUGUAAUAUUUGUAUGAUGUUUUCUGCCACAUAUUAUGGAACAGAAAAGGAUCAGAUUAUCUUCUGAUGUUUUUUGCAUCCUGAAAGCCAGAGGCGCCUGCUGGCGGAUUGCCACGACCCAUCCAAACUCCGGUAAUUUGAUCACCUGAGAUGUAGAGAUCGAACGCUGCUGGCACAGGGACUGCACAUCUCCAAGGGGAUUUUCAGACCUGGAUUCAAGAGUAACCCCCAGCAGUCACUGGGACUCUGCCCCUCCCAAAGGCAGAAGAAGACAAAACUGAAGUUUAUCCUGAUGCAGAGGCUGAUGGAUCCUUUGAGACCCAGGCACUGCGGCAGCGCGCAGGAUGCAACCCUUUUCUGGGCAAAGGGAGAAGACAGGACCUCAGUCUCUGCGGAGAGCCCCUGCCCCUCGCCAGUAAACCAUCUUUUUUACUGUGUUCCAGCGUGCUACUGACAAGAGGAAAGAAGGAGCUGGUGUUGUGGUCCAGAGACAAUCCUUCACAUAUGUCCAGCAGGUAUAAACGCUGCGCUGGAGCCUGCUCGUGUGGAGGGGACUGUGCAGAGCAGUGACAUUAAUUUACCACGAGGGUAAAAUUCCAGCAAAGUGGUUUCUACUGUGUAUAAAGCACUCAGUACCAGUGACGUUUGCCUCUUCUCUUAGUGAUAAAACAUAUUUAUUUGUGAAGUAGAUCUUAAUCUAUCUCAGAAAAGUGUUUUUAGUUUUUUACGGUAGCAUUUAUAAUGAUUGAAAGCGUGGGCUAGAGAGGACAUCUUUGUGUAGCAAUGAACAAAAAUAAGAAUAACUUUUCAGUAUUACUGUAUAUCAAUAGCCAAUUAUUUUUGUAUGGAUGGGUUCUGGCUGGCUGCUAAUGGACUGACAACGAGAUAAGUCUUCCAAGAGAGAAACCAUCAUUUCAAAGAUGGAGUGGCUGGCCUUUUAAUUUUAAGGUAUUACCAAAAUCACACCUUUCACCUUUAAAAAUUGUAAAUGAUCACUGCCUUGUUCUAAAUCAUUUAAUUGCUGUUUGAGCUGAGCCUGGGUAAUGCUUCGUAGAGGUUUGUCUUUCUUAGCACUGAUGGUGCCAUUUACAUUCCUUAAUUUUACUUGAAGAAAACGUCCUCCUUGCUCGCAGUCCCCCUCCUGCCUGCUCUCUGGCCAUCUGUCUGCAGAGGCACUUUAAGGAGUCUGGAGCCAAUUCACCCCUUGCUCAUAUGUAUUUCUUGAACUUGAUAUACAGCACAGACAUGCGCAGGCGGAAAGUCAAACCUAUUAAGUGAUGAGAUGAAAUAUAAAAAUGCUUUAGAAAACUUUUUAGAUGUCUCAGAUGAGGCAAGCAAACAUUCCUUGCUGGUUUUUCUUCUGCUUUGGUGAAUAUUCUUUCAUCUUUGCCUGUUCCAUCCAUCCACCUCUUUGUCUCUGACACGAGGAGUUUGGGUGACGUGGGUUAGGAGUCCUGUACUUCUGACCAACUCCUACUUCUCUGCUAUACAGUUUGCAUGGUAACCGCUCUGCUUGAAGCUCCUCACUUUAAAAAACAAGCUUGAAAGAUCUCCAUGUGCUCCAUAGUGUGCACCAGAACUCUCCUAGGACUCGACUGUACGUAUGAAUAGCCAAGGAAAGAAAUCUAAACACCUUAUUCACCAUGCCUGUGGAUCAAAGUGCUUUCUUGGCUUCAGAUAAACUCCGCCUGCUGUCUUUGAUGAUCUCUACUGUGCAUCUGGGAGAAGAGACCAACAAAAUAUUCAGAGAUGGGUAAAUUGAGGAAAACGGGCCAUUUCCAAAGCCAUAAGUUUGGUCAAUGGCUGUGGAACCUGCUCACACUGCUGCUGCCGUUAGCCUUGCGUGUUUGGUUUCCCAGGGCAAUGGAGAUGGAGGGAGCUGCUGAAAGUUACCACGUCAAUAUUUAUUCAGGUAUCUUGGGCUAUUUAUUUGAAGGCUCUGCCAUGUCCCCUCCACAGCAACAAGCCAGCUGCUCUGACAACUCCUAAGAAAUAAGAAAUGUGCCUUGAGUUCCUGUGACAUUUUGUAUUCCAAAUUUUGCCCAGUGGCUGAUGGUUCCUUCCUCAAAGUGACAUAUUGAUUGUGGGUACACGUAGGGCGAGUAUGAUUGUGUUCGGUAUUUUGAGCUCAUCAUCUGUUAUCUCAUUCUCAUUGUCAACCGAGGCCCAGACAGUAUCAAAUUGGAAGCAGUAGUGUAGAAAAUUAUGAACAAAUCAAAAAAGACUACAGCUGUGAAAUGAAUCAAACCACUGUUUCCACAUUUAGUAUUUCCAUUGGUACAAAACAUCUUUUACAAUGUAUUUUUUUUAUUAUUUUGGGCUUAGAGCUAUGAAGGCAGGGACAAAACAUUGCAAUCCAGCAUCCGGUGCUUGUGUGCGCCUACCAGACAAAGCAAUCGUUCACUAAGCGUGAUGAAGAUGGAGAAGAAUGGGUCACCAAGGGCAGCACCUCCCUAGAUCUGGGCCUCAAUCUGUUUAGACCACCCAAAGGACAUCCCACUGCUUCAGAGAUUCAUCCAUAGACGUCCUGGCUGGUAAUGCAAUGGUAGAACGGUGUGCACAAAACACCCCCGGUAUGUUUGCAGCUCUUGACCUUGGUCCUCUCCAUUUGCUGCAUCUUAAAUGGAGCGAUGCAGUCAGGAAAGUUCAAGUCUGAGCUCCAUUUCAGCUUUUCAGAGCAGCCCCUCGAUGUGCUGAUGCUGUACCCUGAGAGCAGGCUUUAAAUAUGUGUGUGUUUGUAUGAAGAUGACCACAUUAAAUUUAAGCAGAAAUAAAUGGUAAUUGAACUGGCACAGAUACACAAGGCUGACAUGAUCUCUAAAGGAUUGAGGCUGCUAUUAAAUUUGUUCCUCUUUAUUAAUUUGUGACCAAGAGGAUAAUGAAGAACUGGCAACUCUAAAGUUGACAUAAAAAGUAAGAGAUAUACAUUUGGCUUGGAUGAUUUUAUGCACUGUCAAAGUGAAAAGGCUUUGCUAAAUAUAUGUAAGCAAAGAUACACACUGUCAUCUUAAUGAGCAAUUAAAAGGUGGACUCUUAAUAAUUGAAUCUUAACUCUUGUCACAUUUGUAUUUGUUUAAUAUCUUUAGUUUUGGUUGAGUCUAGUUUUGAGUUCCUACUUUAAUCAAGGGUGAUUUAGGCUCUUGCUUCAAAUAACUAAAAGUGAUGAGCAUGCAUCUUGUUCUCCUAUUACCUCCUCAGCUUCUUGUUUCCAAUGAACACAGUGUUCUUGUAAAAAAACUCAUGUUUAAUUACUGCAUUUAGCUAGCAGGACUGGACAAGGAGGGGUGGGUGGCUGAUUCACUGUCAUUCAAAGUUUGAAUUUUCAAAGAGGAAACCUUACCUUCCUCUUCUGAAGAUUGCUCAGUAGAUUUUGGAAAUGCUUCAAAUGGCUCAGAUGGUUACCAGUUAAUUCCUUUGCUGGUAGAAAUCAGGGAGUCUUGGCUGUCUGCAUUGCUCUGUUGUGGGUUUGCUUCAUGUUUUUAUUAUUAUUUUAUUUUAUUUUAUUUUUUAAAAAGCCCAAUAAGAGCAGGCCAUCUGUUCUUCAAAACUCUUUCCCUUAAACUAAUCGCCGCGGUCACCCUUGAAUGCUAUCGUAUCUUCAGUGACACGGAGCUCUGCCUCGCCAAUCUGUUGUUUAAAAUUUCUUAUAAAAUUCCUGAUGUCGCAUCAGUCAAAGCUGCAACAGGUUGCACACUUCCUGCUCCUCUCACCAAAGUACGGGAGACCAGCACUGGCGCGGGUCUCUCCUUCUUCACAGUCCUCACAUUUGCCCGUUGCAUAUUAAAGAAAUUGUCACUUGCAGCUUCAACUCCUCUGAACUUCCAGAGGGCUUUUACUUACUGUCUUGUUUUCUGGGUUUAAUUUUCUUAUUUUUAACGGGGUGGAAAGGAGGAUGCUUAAUUCUUAUUUCAGUGAAUGGGUUAUCCUGUAGUUUAAGAAAAAAAAGAUUAAAACACUGCAAACUUGUUUUUUCCUCUUUUCUCUGCAUAGGGAUCUUCACCUUCUCAAGUCUCUCUUUAAAAUAAUCCAUUUUUCUUCUCCUCAUAACUCCAAUCACUGGUUUUGGGGCCUCUCCAAUUCCCAGUUCAAAGGAAAGCAACAAUUAUUUUGCUUCUAACUCAUCCAGCCCUGAAGGUGAGGAAUUUAUCAGUUUUUCAUCACUAACCUGCUCUGGAGGAAGCAGUUCUAUUUCUCCAGGUCUAGAACAGAGCUGGCUGCUUCCCCCGGUCUUUGCGGGUGGGUGAACAGCAGACCACCCUCCUCCUGCCAGCAAAGCUCCCCAAAACACCCCUUGGGACGCAGCCAGGCUUCCACGGGGCUUUUAAAAGGUCUCAGGACAGAUUGAAAGCAUUUGAAAAGGAGGGGAUGGAGCUGGCUGAAGGCUGAAGGUGCAAGGAGGGGGGUGCCUGGUUGAUGCUU